rnacentral:rRNA from 1 species
AUUGAACGCUGGCGGCAGGCCUAACACAUGCAAGUCGAGCGGAGCGGCGGACGGGUGAGUAAUGCCUAGGACUGUGCCUGGUAGUGGGGGAUAACGUUCGGAAAUGGGCGCUAAUACUGAUAACUAUCAGAUGAGCCUAGGCCGGAUUAGCUAGUUGGUGGGGGAACGGCCUACCAAGGCGACGAUCCGUAACUGGUCUGAGAGGAUGAUCAGUCACACUGGAACUGAGACACGGUCCAGACUCCUACGGGAGGCAGCAGUGGGGAAUAUUGGACAAUGGGCGAAAGCCUGAUGCAGCCAUGCCGCGUGUGUGAAGAAGGUCUUCGGAUUGUAAAGCACUUUAAGUUGGGAGGCGUUACCAACAGAAGAAGCACCGGCUAACUCCGUGCCAGCAGCCGCGGUAAUUC